ACCGCAAGGAGGCAGCUAACCACGGUAGGGUCAGCGACUGGGGUGAAGUCGUAACAAGGUAGCCGUAGGGGAACCUGCGGCUGGAUCACCUCCUUUCU
rnacentral:rRNA from 1 species